rnacentral:rRNA from 1 species
GACGUAGGGAGCGAGCGUUGUCCGGAUUCAUUGGGCGUAAAGAGCGCGUAGGCGGCCGUGCAAGUCGGUUGUGAAAUCCCGGGGGCUCAACCCCGGGACUGCGUCCGAUACUGCACGGGCUCGAGGGCAGGUAGGGGAGAGUGGAAUUCCCGGUGUAGCGGUGAAAUGCGCAGAUAUCGGGAGGAACACCGGUGGCGAAGGCGGCUCUCUGGACCUGUCCU